rnacentral:rRNA from 1 species
UACAGAGGUCUCAACCGUUGUUCGGAUUCAUUGGGCGUAAAGGGUGCGUAGGCGGUCGCGCAAGUCGGAUGUGAAAUCUCAGGGCUCAACCCUGAAACUGCAUUCGAUACUGCGUGGCUAGAGUGCUGGAGAGGAGACUGGAAUUUACGGUGUAGCAGUGAAAUGCGUAGAUAUCGUAAGGAAGACCAGUGGCGAAGGCGAGUCUCUGGACAGCAACUGACGCUGAGGCACGAAGGCCAGGGGAGCAAACGGGG